ACAAACUGUCCUGGUCCACCCCACGUUGAUGUGAUAGUCAAGAAAGCUCAACAACACCCCUACUCCCUCAGGAGACUAAGAUCCAGGAGGUUCAGCAUUUGCGUUGUGACUAAUGGAUGUGAAGUUACAAGAAUUAUAUUCAUUACGUUCAAAUAUUUUCACCAAUUGUCUGCCAAGGUUAUGAUGAGAUAUAGGAGAACAUCUUCAAACCUCCACCCAUAAUAUUCAACUCUGUAAACAACAUGUGAUCGAGGCAAAAUAACAUAAUAAAAACAAAAAGGAACAAAGGGAACAUUGUGUCCAAAGGCCUUCAUUAGAAAUGAAAAUACUUUUGAAAGUAGGUUAAUUUUCAAAAUUUGUGUACAAUGGUAACUUGUUCAGGAAUUGAAUUGUAAAUUUGUUACCAAACCGAGUCACUUACCACCAAUUCUGCAG